AUGAGUGAAUCGACAGUGAUCCAACUGUCAGUGUCGAUCAAAGGUGGGAGGAUGGCGCUUCGACAUUUAUCCACGGAAGAUUUAAUCACGGAGUUAUUAAAUUUUGGGAUAGAGGUCACUGAAGAGGAAAGAAGUAAAUUCAAAGAUAAUGAAGUUGACGGAGAAGCAGUGGACUAUGGAUUGACUGAGAGGAUGAUUUCAUGCCUCUUUGAAGGAUCGUUUAAGAAGCAAGCCAAAUUCAACCGAUUUGUUCAGCAGUUCUAAACAUACACACAGAUUGGGCGUUAUGUGGAAAACUAUUAAUUCCUCUUUCUUUCUGUCAUCACUAUUACGCCUACUUGGUGAAAUAUAAACAGGACUGGACUGUCCUUGACCCUUUUGAGGUGAUGGAUUUUCAUGCUUUGGAUACAUACUGUGUCGAUGAUAAACUGUUUGUUAGUAUGCGGCAUUUAUGUUAAACUGUGUUGGGAGGGUUGUAGAGCGUUGUGGAUGAGCUCAAAGCUUGUGUUUUUUAAUCCAGAACACAUCAAGUGUAGUUUAUCCGUUAAGUGACUCUUUACUUUGGUGUGGUGUGCUAAAGUGUUUUGCUUGGUCUUUGAUAAUAAACUUAUGUUUUUCUGCACUAUAUUGCUGUUCUUAUUAGUGAUGUUCAUGAAAUUGAAAGAAGGAAAAUAUAAAUGGUUCCAUUGUAUUUAUUCCCUGCUAUGCAUCUAUUCUCUGAUAUCGCUGUUCAUUUUGUUUUUGGAGUGGCAGUAAGUUGUCAGUUGGUCAGUGAAAUGCUUCUUAAAAAAUGUAAUUAAUUAUUUUUAAUGUUUUUUUAUAUCAGACAUGACAUCCUAAACAUUGUGGCAUUUUAUUUUGGGAUGUUACAUUGUAUGGUUGUGAGAUGAAUUAUUAUUGAAUCGGUGAAUUAAACUGUUUUCCAUUUAAGGACUAAAAUAAAUGUCUAAAAUUCAGUUAGUUGUUGUUUGCCUUUAUUUUCUUUCACUCCUUAAGGAAUAAAAAGGAACUUUUUUGCCACCUAAAGGUACAAAAUGGCUUUGUCACUGGGGUGGUACCUUAAUGGGACAAAAUUGUACCUUUUUCCAGAGGUACUUUAUUGUACCUUUGUCUAAGGUACAUUAUUGAUCCUCAAAGGUACAGUAUUGGCCCUUAGAAGGUACAAACAAGUAAGGUACAAAUUUGCUCCUCUGACUCAAGGUACAAUAAUGUACCUUUGAGGGUACCACCCCAGUGACAAGCUUUUGUUCCUUAAAGGUACCGUUUUGUACUUUUUUUUCUGAGAGUGAAUGCACAGCUAUUCAUUUGUAAUGCAGUGGCCAAAUAAAUACUGAAUAAUAAGUUCCUUUUUUUUCUUUUUUUUUUUUUUUCAAAAAUGAAAUGGCAUGUGUCUGCACUUAGUUGUCUUUUGUAAGUAAUAAUGCUAGGGAGACACUGAUGUUAAAAUUCUAGCCGAUAUCGAUAAGCCGAUAAUUAGUGAUAACUGAUUAAUAGAGAGAUAUAAAACAUCAAUGCUAAAUGAAACCACUAAAACUAAAAUCAGUUAUUAGGGAUUUUAAAUGUUGACUUGCAAGAAAUAGUUAAUCCAAAAAAAAGAAGAUUUGCUGAAAAUGUACUCAUUCUCAGGCCAUAUGAGAUUCUUUGGAACAAAAUUGGAUAAAUGUAGCAUUCCAUCACUUGCUCACCAGUAGAUCCUCCGCAGUGAAUGGGUGCCGUCAGAAUGAGAGUCCAAACAGGUGAUAAAAACAUCACAAUAAUCCACAAGCAAUUUUAGUAAUCCACAAACUGUGUUUUUGCAAGACACAGAUCCAUGAUUAAGGCAUUUUAACUUCAAACCGUUGCUUCUGCUUAAAAUAUGAGUCCUAUGUAUAUUAAUAUUGCUUUUCAAGUUAAAGUCAUCCCAUAUAAAUCGGGAGGGAACGCAUCAAUGAUGGAUUUGUUUCUCUAAGACAUUCAACUUUUCACUUCACAAGAGGUUAACUGAUGGACUGGAGUGGUGUGGAUUACUUGUGGAAUAUUGUGAUGUUUUUAUCAGUUGUUUGGCUCUCACUCUGACGGCACCCAUUCACUGCAGAGGAUCCAUUGGUGAGCAAGUGAUGUAAAGCUAAAUUUCUCCAAAUCUCUUGUGAGGAAGAAACAAACACAUCUACAUCUUGGAUGGCCUGAGGCUGAGUACAUUUUCAGCAAAUCUUCAUUUAUAGGUGAACAACUCCUUUAAGAGAGCAUUAGAUGAUGGUGAAGGUAAUCUAAAUGUAUAAAGAUUAAAUGAGUAUUCACAAUUAAAUAUUCAGUAUCUACCAAAACUAGCUGAUAACCAAAGGUAGUGAUAUAUCAUACAUCCCUAAAGAUUGUUCACACAUGAUCCUGUUUUAGGGCUGUGAGAUUAUUUAGUUUGGUGCCUCCUCAUAUACACUAUAAGUGUGUGCCGACUGCAUCAGGUCUGGCUGUGAUGGAUGAGGUGGAUUUAGCUCCCAGUGUUGUGUGGACUAGGCUUGGCUCGAAUGAGCACAAACUUGUGGGAUCAGAAGAGUGGAGUAUAUUCUGCCAGGAGAAGCUAGUCUUGAUGGGAAUCUUAGCUGCCACAGAAAGCAGGACCCCAUCACCUUAAAGCAAAAUCCAGUGUGGGCAACUAUACGCUCACUGCAUAUAAAGUAGGGAAGUGUGAUUGUGAGAAAAGUAACAGUUCUGGCCAGAUGAAAAAAAGAGCUUGUUCAACAUGCAGCUGGCAUGAUUUUCUCUUUCAUUUAUCUAAAAGUUUCCUUUCAUUCAUU
ensembl:lncRNA